GACGAACGCUGGCGGCGUGCUUAACACAUGCAAGUCGAACGGAAAGGCCCUGCUUUUGUGGGGUGCUCGAGUGGCGAACGGGUGAGUAACACGUGAGUAACCUGCCCUUGACUUUGGGAUAACUUCAGGAAACUGGGGCUAAUACCGGAUAGGAGCUCCUGCUGCAUGGUGGGGGCUGGAAAGUUUCGGCGGUUGGGGAUGGACUCGCGGCUUAUCAGCUUGUUGGUGGGGUAGUGGCUUACCAAGGCUUUGACGGGUAGCCGGCCUGAGAGGGUGACCGGCCACAUUGGGCCUGAGAUACGGCCCAGACGCCAACGGGAGGCAGCAGUGGAGAAUAUUGCACAAUGGGCGGAAGCCAGAUGCAGCAACGCCGCGUGCGGGAUGACGGCCUUCGGGUUGUGAACCGCUUUCGCCUGUGACGAGGCGUGAGUGACGGUAAUGGGUAAAGAAGCACCGGCUAACUACGUG
rnacentral:rRNA from 1 species